AGAAACAAGUCCUCGAGGCUUGGCAAAGCGGGAGCCUUCCGCGGCAGAGCUUGGGUGUCCGGGCUCUGAGGCUCCGGUCUGACCUCUCCACGGGGUCGACGGGAAUGUCUCCGGAUGCCAGGAGUUGCAAAGGGCAGACCUAGAUGAGGAAACCCCAGGCAGAGUCCUGGGGAAGCAGCACGGCAUCCGAGCCUCAGGCUUGCCUGGACGGUGUUGGUUGGGGUAAGAUUGGGGAAGAUGCCAGGUGAUAGAAUCCACCCUGCCUCUGACAGCAUCCAAUCUGGAGCAAAGGCUUAUUUCAACCCUCCCCCAAGCUCCCAAUACAAGCCCAAAUUCUGGAACAGGUCCUUUCCAACACCUCCUUCAGAGAAGCUCCCUGGCUCCAGGCAGUGCUUGCUCCCCUCACUGCAGCAGGAAGCCUAACUUGCGAACUGCAGGUGUGCUCCAGGUGGUCACUGGAUGCAAGGCAUUGACAGAUGGAUCCCAUCGAUACCCCCACUGCAAAACCAUUUUCUUUUGAUUUCUCCUGCUUAGAAAUGGUGAGAGAACUUUGGAUGUGGAACGUGGAGGAGGAGGAACACGAAGUGGGGAUCUCCACUUGGGGUGGUCAGCACUGCGGGUGCCCAGCAAAGUCACUGCCUGGUCCACAUCCCGGAGGGGUCUCUGCGCCUCAGUCGGCAUCGCAGCUGAUGGUGAAACUUUUGGUGUGGCAGAAGAGUGUCCACAAACUUCGGAAGAUCGCUGCUCAGAGUGAGGAAUGGAGUUGUGUUUUGAAUAAAAUAUCCACGCAUCCUUUUGUGAGCAA
ensembl:lncRNA FAM182A family with sequence similarity 182 member A